rnacentral:rRNA from 1 species
AUGGCUCAGGAUGAACGCUGGCGGCGUGCUUAACACAUGCAAGUCGAACGAAGCAGUUUAUUACGAUCCCUUCGGGGUGACGAUUUUGUGACUGAGUGGCGGACGGGUGAGUAACGCGUGGGUAACCUGCCUUAUACAGGGGGACAACAGUUGGAAACGGCUGCUAAUACCGCAUAAGCGCACAGUAUCGCAUGAUACAGUGUGAAAAGAUUUAUCGGUACAAGAUGGACCCGCGUCUGAUUAGCUAGUUGGUGAGGUAACGGCUCACCAAGGCGACGAUCAGUAGCCGAUCUGAGAGGGUGACCGGCCACAUUGGGACUGAGACACGGCCCAAACUCCUACGGGAGGCAGCAGUGGGGAAUAUUGCACAAUGGGCGAAAGCCUGAUGCAGCGACGCCGCGUGAGCGAAGAAGUAUUUCGGUAUGUAAAGCUCUAUCAGCAGGGAAGAUAAUGACGGUACCUGACUAAGAAGCACCGGCUAAAUACGUGCCAGCAGCCGCGGUAAUACGUAUGGUGCAAGCGUUAUCCGGAUUUACUGGGUGUAAAGGGAGCGUAGGCGGUUUUGCAAGUCUGAUGUGAAAGCCCGCAGCUCAACCGCGGGAUUGCAUUGGAAACUGUAGAACUAGAGUGUCGGAGGGGUAAGUGGAAUUCCUAGUGUAGCGGUGAAAUGCGUAGAUAUUAGGAGGAACACCAGUGGCGAAGGCGGCUUACUGGACG